ensembl:lncRNA
CAUGUGACAGAUGGGAAGGGCUUAAGAAACAGAAGGAAACUAAUCGCUUUCAGGGCCACUUGAAGAAAAUAUCCCACUGCUUAGCAAUAGGACAGGAGAAGGCAAUGAGGGAGCAGUAAAAAGAAUUUUGAUUUGAAGGAAUUGAUGGUGCCUCACUUUAAUCUUUAUUCAUUAGUAUGAGGGCCCACUCUAAAUAGCACUAUGUAUCUCUUUCUUACUUCCCAGUUAGUAAAUAGUGAAGAAGCAUAGUCACGUCACAGUUUAUACCAUGGGAAGCAAAAUUCACUUCGACCACAGUGGGAUUUUCCUAGCAAAUUAAUAUCCCUCUCAACAUCGGCUCAUACAACUCCUGGCCAGAGGGGUGAGUUAAAAAUCAAGCUGCCUAAGAGUGGGAGGAGAGGGAGAAAGAGUGAGCGAGCAAGCAGAACUUACAGGGCUGUUUGACAGAUUUUUUUUUUCCCGCCUCUAGCAUAUGGUGGUGCUAGUACUUUAUUUUUCAGUCAUCACAUUGCUUCAUUUAACGGUUGUAUCAGGCUACUGGUUGUUGCCGGAAAGCAGAUUUCAUCCCAACAGAAAAUGCAAGCACGCAUGCAGCAGAAACCACUCAAUAGGAGGAAGGACAGUUUAAUCUCUCAUGCUCCUGGUUUGGUCUCAGAAUGAGAAGACUGGCUGCAACUCAGAGGAUCCUGUCAAAAAAAAUAUCAUAAUUGGGCUGAGGAAGAACGGGAUAAACCAAACAACAGGAAGAACUGAAAAAAGAAGAUACUGUACAUCAGUUUCAGCAAUUCAUGAACACAUGCCAACAGAUACCCAAAGAACUAUAAAUACAUCUGCGGAAGCAGCUUUUGAAUUCAUUCUGGAAGAAGGAACUGGAUUUUCCUAAGAAUGUGCUGAAGUGAGCCAGACUCCUGAAAAAUCCAUUUGACCAGAGAUUACAGUGGGGUGGAAGGGAAGUUAACAGAGAAUAGAGUUGUGUAUAUUGUAGGCAGAGAAGAGAAGCUCCGUCAUUCUUUGCUGGGGAUACUGCAUUGUGCAUAGCCUAAUUCUGUCAUUUUCAAUUUGAAUUAGGUACACAUAACUGGGAUGCAGGCUUUUGGCCAAAGGGUACUCUGCUUCCCAAAAACAAAAUUAAAAUAUUUUAUGUAAAAUGUAAUUUUUUGUCAUAAAAACCAGCUUCAGUCACAAAUGCAAUUAAGAAUGUGCCGAAAUUCCACAUCUAUAAAUCAAAGGAAAAAAAAAGUCACAAUGUGUGUCCAGUAGACAAGUAAACAUCCUUUACAAUCAGGAUGGCUUGUUUCAAUUCCACUUCACAUUUCAUCACGUUUCUGCCGAUCAAAAAUCUUUCUCUUUUGGUGGCUUUGUUUAUUUCCUAACAUAGCUUCGCUGAAGUGGCUUUUCCUAAAUCUUCCUCUUUCAUUGUCUAACUUGCCUUUUAUUCCUCUGAAAGUCAAUCAGAUGCCAUGUGGUAUCUUAUCAGGAGAGGUCUUCCAGUUUUAUCAGUGUAAACACAAUUACAUUCUAAGCAUUCAAUUGUAUAAUAGCUUCCUUAGUAGGACACCCCUUGCCUUCAGCACAAACCAGAUGUUUCUGUGACCAGCACUUAAAGGCAUACAGUUCAGACUUUCAAAAGACUUUGUCCUUCUGUUUCUAAACAGCCUGCUAUGUGGGAAGGAGAGUUAAACGAGAAGGGGUGGAUGUGCUCACCUUUGGCUCUCACCCCUGCUCCACUAUUGAUUUUGGCCAUGUUUGCUGCAAAGAGUCAACAUAUGUUGCCUCUGGUAGGAAAGUGUUCGCCAUAGUCACAGGAACUUUUCUACAACAGUUUGGAGAAAA